rnacentral:rRNA from 1 species
UAGGGAAUCUUCCGCAAUGGACGCAAGUCUGACGGAGCAACGCCGCGUGAGUGAAGAAGGAUUUCGGUUCGUAAAACUCUGUUGUUAGAGAAGAACAGCGCAUAGAGUAACUGUUAUGCGUGUGACGGUAUCUAACCAGAAAGCCACGGCUAACUACGUGCCAGCAGCCGCGGUAAUACGUAGGUGGCAAGCGUUGUCCGGAUUUAUUGGGCGUAAAGCGAGCGCAGGCGGUCAAUUAAGUCUGAUGUGAAAGCCCCCGGCUCAACCGGGGAGGGUCGUUGGAAACUGGUUGACUUGAGUGCAGAAGAGGAGAGUGGAAUUCCAUGUGUAGCGGUGAAAUGCGUAGAUAUAUGGAGGAACACCAGUGGCGAAGGCGACUCUCUGGUCUGUAACUGACGCUGAGGCUCGAAAGCGUGGGUAGCAAACAGG